ensembl:lncRNA
AGAGGAGCAAGCUGCUGCCUGCCUCUGGGAGAAGGAAACAGUCUCUUCUGCAGAAGGCAAGAAAGCUGCUGAGACGUGGCAGGGGAGAUGAUCCCUCUCCUUGAGGUGCUGACCUCUGAGGCGAAGAAGCUGAAGCUUUGUCCUCCUACUACCCUGCUCCUUACAGUUCCAAAGUUUCUUUUUCCCAAUGAGGGGUCCUGUAGGAGAUGAAGAGAAAGGAAGGCUGAGACAAAACCUACAUCAUCCGGCCACAUCUGCAUUGGACCCAAGGCUGGGUGAACCACAUCUGUAUGGCUUCAGGCUGAAAACCGAAGACAUUUAAAAGGUCUCAACCAAGUGAGCCCACUAAACUGAUUUUGAGUUCAGGUGGAAGAGAGCUCAGACCUGUUCCAGCGUACCAGCAGCUCGAGCAGGUUACAAAACGUUGGUGCCUUUAAGCGUGGAUUUUAAUGGCUUUUAACUUCCUCCUCAACCAGGCAAUGAUUGCCAUGAGUGGAAAGACAUCCCUGUGGAGAUUACUGAGAUGUGUUUGGAGCACGCCUUCAUGCCCAUGCAGUUUCGACAGAGCCUAUCACCAUGCAUGGGCUGAGGGAUGCAGUGAGGAGCUCUGGGCUACGACCAGCCGGGCUUUUCUUAGAUGAAACAAGCAUCCAACAUCAGGCAGGCAAACCCAGCUCCAUCCAAAAAAACCCAGCACUGCAUGGAACAAGGUGGUGGAUGUGCAGGCAGCAGGAUUACCAGCGUCAUCCUGCCAGCUGGGGCUGCAAGGAGCGUGUGCCAGGAAGGAGGCCAAGGUUUCACAUUCCCUUAUGUCUAAAAGGUCUGUGGGGCAUUUGGGUGAAGCACUGAAAACUGAAAAUAUAAAAAAAUGGUAUAAAGCUUGAAUAAGAUUUUCAGAUUCAAGGUCUACGUUUGCACGUGAGGUCAAUAAAUAGUGGUACUUUGUAGUGAGUGGUAUCCACUGUCACCUCUGGUUGAUGGUACUUCCAUGUGAGAAUUCCCACCAAUGGACAAGCGCAAGUGUACAUUGCACAACAGAUAGCAAUUGGAAGAAGUCAGUUUUUCAGGCUCGUGUCCAACAGAAUCAUCAGAUCUUUCUCUGGUACACAUAUUUUCAAGUUUUUGUAGUCAUCUCAUCUCUUCAUAUAAUCAAAUUAAUUUGAAUACUUUCUUAAAAUCCAACAGUCUUUACCAAGCACAAUGGUAUCUGGAGAAACCUCUCAUAGAAAGGCUGAAGAUGUCCUGACAGCAUUUCCUUGCCUUUGGGAGUUCGUGAAAGGUAUGCCAGAGUCCCGCUCCAGCUCAUUCUGCUUUCUGUUUACUUUCUGAUGGCCUGCAGAGUGUUUGAUAUGUGUCCACAAACUUCCUAAUUCACCACAGUAUGUCUGUUUGCCAAGAUUUACUUGACCCGAAUUCUUUUGAUAACAAUUGUUUGUGACAAUUUUAACACAGGUUGUACAGAAGGAGAUAGCUGGUUUAAUAGAUGCUGUGACCUGGACAUUCAUGCUUUACCAUUUUGUUACCAACAGUAAGCUCAUGGGAUUUUUUUCCCCCAAUUUAUUUAUUUUUAAUCUUAGCUAAUUAUUAUCCAACGAUAUAUUUUCUCACAGCUGGAAGAUUGAGCUGUUGUAUAUAUGUCCUAAAUUGCUAACUUACCUUUUGGUAUUCAGCAUAAUGUCUCUUCAGAAAGGCAUUUGAGUCUAAAGACAGUUGUGCUUCUCAUUGCUCUGCCACAUAACAGCGAGUCACUCAUUGCAUUCAGUCAUCAGCUCUUAACUGCAAUUGUUGCUGUGAAAGAGGC